rnacentral:rRNA from 1 species
AAAUCCGCUUUGAUAAUGCUGGGAUGUGAUGGGGAGCGAAAUUUAGUAGCGAAGUAGCUGAUUUCACACUGUCAAGAAAAGUCUCUAUCGAGGUUAAAGGUACCCGUACCGCAAACCGACACAGGUGGGUGAGGAGAGUAUCCUAAGGCCAGCGAGAGAACUGUUGUUAAGGAACUCGGCAAAAUGACCCCGUAACUUAGGGAUAAGGGGUGCCACCAUCAGGUGGCCGCAGAGAAUAGGCCCAAGCGACUGUUUACCAAAAACAUAGGUUUCUGCUAAGUCGCAAGACGAUGUAUAGGAGCUGACGCCUGCCCGGUGCUGGAAGGUUAAGGGGAUCUGUUAGAGCAAUCGAAGCAGUGAACUUAAGCCCCAGUAAACGGCGGCCGUAACUAUAACGGUCCUAAGGUAGCGAAAUUCCUUGUCGGGUAAGUUCCGACCCGCACGAAAGGCGUAACGAUUUGGGCACUGUCUCAACAACAGACUCGGUGAAAUUGUAAUUCCGGUGAAGAUGCCGGAUACCUGCGACAGGACGGAAAGACCCCAUGGAGCUUUACUGUAGCUUGACAUUGGGUCUUGGUACUACAUGUACAGGAUAGGUGGGAGGCUUUGAAACCAGGACGCCAGUUUUGG